GACGAACGCUGGCGGCGUGCUUAACACAUGCAAGUCGAGCGGUAAGGCCCUUUCGGGGGUACACGAGCGGCGAACGGGUGAGUAACACGUGGGUGACCUGCCCUUAGCUCUGGGAUAAGCCUGGGAAACUGGGUCUAAUACCGGAUAUGACUCCAUGACGCAUGUUGUGGGGUGGAAAGCCUUGUGCGGCUAGGGAUGGGCCCGCGGCCUAUCAGCUUGUUGGUGGGGUGAUGGCCUACCAAGGCGACGACGGGUAGCCGGCCUGAGAGGGCGACCGGCCACACUGGGACGUGAGACACGGCCCAGACUCCUACGGGAGGCAGCAGUGGGGAAUCUUGCGCAAUGGGCGAAAGCCUGACGCAGCGACGCCGCGUGAGGGAUGACGGCCU
rnacentral:rRNA from 1 species